GCAUUAAACAAGCCCAUCCAAACUGAGAACAUCAAAGAGGAUUUUACAGAGAUACGCUUUUGAACACAAGGGCACCAAUUUGAAACCCUAGCUGCAGAAAUAUAAAUAGGGAAGAGAAUCAGUGAGGAAGAAAAACAACAGAAAAACUUGGAGGCGGAAGUGAAAAAUUCCAAAGCAGAAAACCUUAAUCUUAAAAUCAAAAACAAAACCUAUUUGGAAGAGGCGAAGGAGGGAGGUUCGAGAUUCAUCGUUGCCGUCGUCACCGCCGAAGGUGAGCUUUUUUUGUUUCAGCCAUUGGAUUCUUACAUGAUUUGAGUGAGGUUGAGGGCAUUUGAAAGUUGGGGAUGCGAUCGAGAGAGAGGGGUUUAGUCUGAGUGAGCGAAGUUUGGGACGUUUACUGAGAGUGAUUGAGAGGGGUUCGUCGAGAGCGAGAAAGGGAUUCAUGUGAGAGACGGAAAGAUGCGAGUGAGAUGGAGAGAGAGGAGGACGAUGAAGCAAUUCGUUGCUGUUGCUUUUGUUUUUUUUGUUUUGUUUUUUUAUUUUAUUUAGUUUAAACCAAACAAACCUUUAAGAUAUAAAAAAAAACCAUAAAAAAUAUAAUAUGUUUAGUAUUCUCUUUUUUUAUAUAUAGUGUAUAUUAAUGAUUGUUAAUUUUCUU
rnacentral:lncRNA from 1 species